AGACUCUGGUUCCUAGUCUUCCAGGCAGUGUCUGACAUGGGCUCCCUUUCAUGCAAAGGAAUUCUCUUUUUCCCUAUUAUCAGUGAGAAAAGAGUCCAAAAGAAAACAUGUCAGCUAUGAUUAACACGGAACAUAGUCUGAAUGACUGUGUGAAGGAAAUAAAGUGCACAGUGGUGAGGACUCCCUGUUUGAGAUCCUGAAGAAGUGCAUGUCUGUGGCUGUCAGCACAGGUUGAGAUCUGUUUUUUGUCAGUCGCCAGAUCAGUGCUUUGAGGUGCAGGGAACAAAAGUUAGUAUCCAGAGCCCAUGCCAGCCAGGUCUCCCCUCCCCCAGCCUGAAACCUGCUUGCUCAGGGGUGGAGCUUCCUGCUCAUUUGUUCUGCCACGCCCACUGCUGGAACCUGUGGAGCCACACACGUGCACCUUUCUACUGGACCAGAGAUUAUUCGGCGGGAAUCGGGUCCCCUCCCCCUUCCUUCAUAACUGAGUGUCGCAACAGUAAAAUUGGAGCUUUGAUC
rnacentral:lncRNA from 1 species